rnacentral:rRNA from 1 species
AUUGAACGCUGGCGGCAUGCCUUACACAUGCAAGUCGAACGGCAGCACGGGUGCUUGCCCCUGGUGGCGAGUGGCGAACGGGUGAGUAAUACAUCGGAACAUGUCCUGUAGUGGGGGAUAGCCCGGCGAAAGCCGGAUUAAUACCGCAUACGAUCUACGGAUGAAAGCGGGGGACCUUCGGGCCUCGCGCUAUAGGGUUGGCCGAUGGCUGAUUAGCUAGUUGGUGGGGUAAAGGCAUACCAAGGCGACGAUCAGUAGCCGAUCUGAGAGGACGACCAGCCACACUGGGACUGAGACACGGCCCAGACUCCUACGGGAGGCAGCAGUGGGGAAUUUUGGACAAUGGGCGAAAGCCUGAUCCAGCAAUGCCGCGUGUGUGAAGAAGGCCUUCGGGUUGUAAAGCACUUUUGUCCGGAAAGAAAUCCUUGGCCCUAAUACGGUCGGGGGAUGACGGUACCGGAAGAAUAAGCACCGGCUAACUACGUG